rnacentral:rRNA from 1 species
ACAACUCUUAGCGGUGGAUACCUCGGUUCUCGCAACGAUGAAGAACGCAGCCAGCUGCGAUACGUAAUGGGAAACGCAGGCCUUCGUGAAACAUCAAGACUUUGAACGCAAGUUGCGCUCAUGGCACUUGUGCUGUGAGCAUGCCUGUUUGAGUGUCG